rnacentral:sRNA from 1 species
UUCUCCCCGGAGGAGUGGGGCUGUCUGCGGCCCGCGCAGAGGGCUCUGUACCGGGACGUGAUGCAGGAGACCUACGGCCACCUGGGCGCGCUCGGUGAGAGCCCCGGGUCCGAGCCCCCUCCUCCUUCACCGGGUUCACAGGGGAGAUGAUGUAGAAGGGCCGAGAGGACUGUGAGCCCUAAUCCCGCACUCUUGCACCAACACCAGCAGCCACCUCCCGUUCCCAGGGCUUCAGGUACCCCCUCGGGAGUGUUUUCACCCGCAUCCACUUCAUUCAGGCAGCAGCACUGCAGCCCCUUCCAGGAGAUGUCCCAAACAGGAAGGAAGAGGAACCCGAGGAAGUCCCAAGAGCCAAAGGGCCUAGAAAGGCUCCUGUGAAGGAGAGUCCUGAAGUGCUGGUGGAACGCAACCCUGACCCAGCUAUUAGCGUGGCCCCGGCACGGGCACAGCCACCCAAAAAUGCUGCCUGGGACCCGACCACAGGAGCACAGCCCCCGGCACCCAUACCCAGCAUGGAUGCUCAGGCCGGCCAGCGGCGCCACGUGUGCACGGACUGCGGCCG